CGGCCGGGCCCUGGGCGGGGCAGGGCGAGGCUGGAUCUUCGUAACGAGUCCGUGAAGGAUCGGGCGCGGGCGCGGGCGCGGGGCCGGAGGGCCCUGGGAGAGUGGGUUGAGAGAAUGGAAGUGAAGAGGAAGGCUUCACCAUCACCUUAACUAACAUGUGCUUCCUACCGUUAAAUAAACAUUAUAGGCCAU